GUUAUCUUAGUAUAUAUAAGUACAGCUAUUUUCCACAUAGUAAGGUUAACAAAGAUGUUAAAGAUAAUA